UUGCACUGUGAGAGAGGAGCACACAGAAUUGGGGGCCCCAAGCUGAAGGCGGUUGGAGAGAGGGCUUUGUUUUGCUGGAGACAGGGUCUCACUGCAUAGCCCUAGCUGCUCUGGAACACACCGUAUCUACCAGGCUGGUCUCUAACGCCUAGAGCUCUGCCUGCCUCUGCCUUCCCGGGCACUUAGGGGCCAUCAGCCAGCUCUUGGAGUAGGGUGCCACACGGGAUGGAGAUCCCGAGGGUCGCAGGCGACUUUGCCUUCAUGGACAUGGGUUGUGACCCCUUAGGGGUGAGGGAAUGAACGUGCGGGGCGGGCAUCCCCAGCCGAGGGAGGAAGGGGCCGCCGGGGCGCACAGGCACGGCGGCGAUCGCCGGGUUGAGGGCGACUCUCCAAAGAAGAGUGGCCAGGGCGAGCAAGGCCCAGCGGUGAGGAUGGCUGGGGAGAGCCCCUGUCGGCGUCAGCAGGGGCAGGCGGCGUGGUCAGGGCGUGCGUCCGGGACAAUGCUGGAACUGUCCUAGGUGGGGCUCCCGCCGCAGAAGUGAGGUCUUCCGGAUUGGCGACCCAGGCUGAGUAGGCCCGGUCCGGGAGGGCACCCUCGGAGCUUUAACCCUCUCCACCUGGCUCCCAGGACUCACAGUCUGCAGACAGAAACUGGGGCUCUAGCCCUGGUCCACCUGGGGCCACUGCAAGCCAAGCCAGACUACCAGGAAAGAGCUGUUUUUCCAAGAAGAAAUCAUGGAAGGCUGACUGGAGGAGACAGUCCAGAUCAGUGAGAGGGGCAGUGAGGUAGCUGCUGGGGGACACAGGAAGAUACCAUGCCCAGCUGUGUCAGAGGCAGAUGAGGCGGUGUGGAAGUGGCUACACCAUCACCCCAGGGUCAUCAGGGAUGUCAGCAGAAGUCCUCAGCAGAAAGAGCAGGAGCUGCUAGACAGACGGGUCCCAGCCGGUCAAGAUGGUGGGCUAAGGAGAAUCACGAUGUGCGGCUAGCAGAGGGCAGUGCCAGUGCCUUGAGGCAGCAGGGACCCACCGAGGGUGAGAGAGGGACAAGCCCUGCAAAGGAAGGCUGGAGCGGACCCUGGACAGGGAGCCUCCCCCCCCCCCCCCCCCGGGGCAGCUGCCUCCUGUUUUCUUUGGCUCCAGGCAUACCUGGGACUGAUGUUGCUGACCAGCGUUGGAAUUCUCCAGAAAACCACCACCGCUGGGUGGACCUGUGCUGAGGUAGAAGCACAUGGCUGCCUAACGGGUGUCUGCCACGAGCCAGGCACGGGGCUGGGGCCCAAGACCAUGUGCUCAUCCCUGCCUGCUGGCUUCCACCGAGGCUGGGACCGCCUCUCAGGCAGCUGCUUGCCUAACCCCAAGCACUCCAGUUUCUCUGCCGGUGUCUUCCUGGGCCCUGGAACCUGCAGGCCUGUGCCCUCCUCUGCCCUUCCACUUGCAGCAGACAGCAACUCUCCCAGGCCUCCGGCACGGGCCGACCAUGGCUCUUCCUGUGACUGUGUGAGCUCAGCAGCCUGGGAGAGUCCUGAGCGGGCUGGCUCCAGUAUCCGCCUGAGCCUGGAAUUUACACAGACAAUGCUUCAAGUGGAUUUUGCUUUUAGUUUGGUUGGUUUUGUAUUCUUGUGACAGGGUCUCCUGGAGCCCAGGCUAGCCACCAACUUACUGUGUGUCCAAGGAUGACCUUGAACUUGUGAUCCUUCCACGCCUGCUUCCUAAAUGCUAGGAUGGCACCCAGCCAGAGACCAGUUAUAUCCAUAUUUUCCUCUAAGGAGAGAUGAGCCAGCCUCAUGCCCCACACCCAGAGCUGGGGAGCUAGCCUACCCACACACAACCCCACCCACACAUAGCCCAUCACACAUGAACACAGACUUAGCUCUGGCUCCAGCCAGGCAAUAGCUGUGAUAUUCUGGAACUCAUGAGUCCUGGCCAGUCUUCCUUCCCGACAUCCAGGCAGAGUGGUUCCAGGAGCUGGUCCGGGCGGGGCUGCUGAGGGAGCCCCAGGGGCCUCUUCUGAUUGACGCCUGCUGGGCCAGGAGACUUGUGGCGCCCCGACUGCCUGCCUCCGCCCAAGGGGGAAAUAUGCUGGGCACUGGCCUGCUGAGCCACUGGCUGGGUCUGGGGAAUCCAUCAGGGCAACAUGGGGAGGGUCACUUGGCCCUUUCCACAUCCCAGGCCAGACGUAACCUCCAUAAAUAAAGACCAAAUCCAGGGUCAGGAAGCGGGUUCUGAGGCCUGUGACUGCCUAAGCCUUCAGCAGGCCCCACCUCCUUGUCCACCCCCCUCAGCAUAGAUCUCUUUACCUCAGACCCCCCUUGGGUUAAAGACAGCACUAACUAUACUGGCUACCAUUUUAUUGAGCAAUUGCCAAACAUCCAGAAGUUUGCCAAAAGGCUCAGGCACCAUUAAUCAGAAAUACAGAUAUAGGUGUAUAUAGAGAUAGAUUACAUUUAGAGUCUUUAAAUUUUUUCAUUAUAUUCUUUUGUGGGCACCAUAUUGUGUGAGUGGAGGCCGGCUGGUGGAGUGGAGCUCAGGUCUCAGGCUUAUCAGUGAGCACCUUUACCUUCCGAGGCCCCUUGCGGGCUAUCCCAAGCGGAAAGGUAGAUGCCUGCAGUUAGUGUAACAGAACGUUUUAUCACACGAGGUUCACACUCUAAAUUCCUCCGCUUGUCUCCCCGGGGCUGCUCACCAGCACCAUGGAUCUCAGCUGAAGGUCAGGUCCAGUCUCUGACAGGAGUCUCUGGUUUGAGGGUCAGGAUCCUGGGGGGACUCUCCAGCCGCAGGGCAGACCAGAGAGCCAUUUUUCCAGACGAGCAGAGCAGAGCAUUGCUCAUAUGCUGUGCAGUGGGCAUCACGGGUUCCGGGACUGUGUGGCUCUCACAGGUUCUCGUGAGCAGUGUCGCUGGGUUCCGGUUAUCAGGUGCAGUCUUGGGUGUAGAGCUAUUUCUACACAUCUAAAAGGCAUGUUUUACUACGAUUGUUACACUGGCCCUCACCUUGAUUUUGAUUUUUUUUUGAGACAGGGUCUCUCUGUGUAGCCCUGGCUGUCCUAGACUCACUCUGUAGACCAGGCUGGCCUCGAACUCAGAGAUUCGCCUGCCUCUGCCUCCCCAGUGCUGGGAUCACAGGCAUGCAUCACCGUGCCCGCCCCCUAACUUUGAUCUUUGAGCUCUUGUCUCCCACUGUGAGUCCCAGGAAUCCCUGAGCUUUUUCCUCAUGCUACAAUGGGAAGUGCUUUACCCACUGAGCCGUCGCUGUAGCCCUGCAAAGCCCUUUGUCCCUUCUCUCCUGAAACACAUGUAUGUGCACACUCAACACAGGCAUAGGUGCGCAGGCUCACAAACACACACACAGGCAUAGGUGCGCAGGCUCACAAACACAUACACACUCACACAUAUACACAUACUCACAUAAACACACUCACAGGCACAGGUGCGCAGGCUCACAUACACAUAGAAGCACACCGACACACAAGUAUUCACAGAUACACACACACAGAUGCACAUGCUCACGCACAGGCAUGAGUGCGCACAAGUGCACAGGCACACACUCAGUACAAAACACAGUCCCACUUUUUAGUGUCAAUGUGAGAAUCAAACCUUUUCAUACAGGCAGUUCUCUGGGCUUCACACUUACACAAACUUCACAGAAAAUAUCAGAAAAGAAUUUGUACGGCCCAAAUGGUGGCUCGUGUCUAUGUCCACCUCCACCCUGAGUGCAGGGACACUGAGGCAGGAGGACUAGGAUACUGGGCGUGGUGGCUCACAAUUGUUACUCCUGCCCCCAGGAAGUGCAAGGAGCUCAAGACCACCCUCGGAUGUAUAAAGAGUUUUGAGACCAGCCUCGGUUGCAGAAGCAUUAUCUAAAACACUACAAAGGAAAUUAAAAUAUAAUUCCAGUGGCUGGGAAUAUGGCUCACCUUGAGUUUGAUUUUUUUGAGACAGGGUUUCUCUGU